CGCGGCCUAUCAGCUUGUUGGCGGGGUAAUGGCCCACCAAGGCAACGACGGGUAGCUGGUCUGAGAGGAUGGUCAGCCACACUGGGACUGAGACACGGCCCAGACUCCUACGGGAGGCAGCAGUGGGGAAUCUUGCGCAAUGGGCGAAAGCCUGGCGCAGCAACGCCGCGUGCGGGAAGAAGGCUUUCGGGCUGUAAACCGCUUUCAGCAGAAACGAAAAUGACGGUACCUGCAGAAGAAGGAGCGGCCAACUAUGUGCCAGCAGCCGCGGUGAUACAUAGGCUUCAAGCGUUGUCCGGAUUUAUUGGGCGUAAAGAGUUCGUAGGCGGUCGAGUAAGUCGGGUGUGAAAAUUCUGGGCUCAACCCAGAGACGCCACCCGAUACUGCUUAACUUGAGUUCGAUAGGGGAGUGGGGAAUUCCUAGUGUAGCGGUGAAAUGCGCAGAUAUUAGGAGGAACACCGGUGGCGAAGGCGCCACUCUGGAUCGACACUGACGCUGAGGAACGAAAGCAUGGGUAGCAAACAGGAUUAGAUACCCUGGUAGUCCAUGCGGUAAACGGUGGGCACUAGGUGUGGGUUUCUAUUAACGAAAUCCGCGCCGUCGCUAACGCAUUAAGUGCCCCGCCUGGGGAGUACGG
rnacentral:rRNA from 1 species